rnacentral:lncRNA from 13 species
CAGGGUUGCCAGAUUUGGCGAUUUUACGCCAAAUUGGCGGUUUCUGAAGACCAUUUGGCUCUGAUAGUAAUAGAGUGAAAAAGCGCGGUCAGGAUUGCUGAUGCAAUCCUUUUUAUUUCUUGUGCAAGCAUAUUCUGUAUUCCUAUUUAAGUCUUUUUGUUUCCCAUAUAACUAUUGAAAGCAAGAUAAAAAUACCUUGGUUACUAUGGUCAAAUCGUCCCCGCCACGUUGUUACACUGGGGACGGGUACCAUUAACGUUGAGAAGAAGAAAGUCACAUAUUUCCAAAAUAUCUGGGGGGGCUAUUACGGUUUCUGAAACGAGGUGAAAAUUACAAAAAACCGUGAUAGCCCCCCUGAGAAGGUGCAAUUGGUGUUGCAAAAGCGAAUUGGUAUUUAAUCAACGAGAUUCAGAGACGGAAGCACAAGCCCAGGAUGAUCCUUCCCGAGAAAGCAGUCUCCGUACUUCGUCUGGAACCAAGAUUCAUAACUCCAGCGAUUAGAACCUGUUCGGAUGCACUCAAAUGCAAAGUACAAUAGAAUUAAUUUUUUCA